rnacentral:rRNA from 1 species
GUCCACGCCGUAAACGAUGGGCACUAGGUGCUUGGGGGAGCGACCCUCCGAGUGCCGGCGCUAACGCAUUAAGUGCCCCGCCUGGGUAGUACGGCCGCAAGGCUGAAACUCAAAGGAAUUGACGGGGGCCCGCACAAGCGGUGGAGCAUGUGGUUUAAUUCGACGCAACGCGAAGAACCUUACCUGGGCUUUACAUGCACGGGAAACCUCUCAGAAAGGGGAGGCCCUCUUCGGAGUCCGUGCACAGGUGCUGCAUGGCUGUCGU